rnacentral:rRNA from 1 species
AACGUAGGGGGCGAGCGUUGUCCGGAAUUACUGGGCGUAAAGGGCGCGUAGGCGGUUGUCCAAGUCAGAGGUGAAAACUCUGGGCUCAACUCAGAGCGUGCCUCUGAAACUGGACGACUUGAGGGCAGGAGAGGGGAGUGGAAUUCCCAGUGUAGCGGUGAAAUGCGUAGAUAUUGGGAGGAACACCAGUGGCGAAGGCGACUCUCUGGCCUAACCCUGACGCUGAGGCGCGAAAGCGUGGGGAGCGAACGGGAUGAGAUACCCCGGUAGUCCACGCCGUAAACGAUGGGUGCUAGGUGUAGGAGGUAUCGACCCCUUCUGUGCCGUAGCUAACGCAAUAAGCACCCCGCCUGGGGAGUACGGCCGCAAGGUUGAA